AUAUUUUAUUAUAAUUGAAAAACAAGUUUUCUGUAUUUUGUGCAGUAAUAUGACCUGCUAGCUUCUUGCAGUUAGUUUUUUAUCUUUUUAUAAUUAGCUUCUUAUCUUCUUUUUAUCUUUUUAUAGUUAGUGUCUUGCCUCUAUUCUUUCAGCUGAUGUAAAAUAUUAUUCUUACAAUUCUUUGACACUUCUGCUGUACAAUCUUUUUACAAUCUUUUUUUAUAUCUACUAAGUUAUUUUGUCUUUACUUUCAGCUGUUUAUCAUAUUAAUCUGCAGUUGCUGUUUGCACUCUGCAUCUUUUAAAUCAUUUUAUAAUGAUUUUCAGCAGUUUCAAUAAUGUCAAGUCUGCUGUUCAAAUCUCAAUCAUAUGCUGUUGAGCUAUAUUACAGCCUCACAGCUUAAUCAAUAUUCACAAUAUAAUCAAUCAAUAACUGAGAAUGCUAUAUAUAAUACAUGCAA
rnacentral:sRNA from 1 species